rnacentral:rRNA from 1 species
UGCAAGUCGAGCGAGACCUUCGGGUCUAGCGGCGGACGGGUUAGUAACGCGUGGGAACAUACCCUUCUCUAAGGAAUAGCCACUGGAAACGGUGAGUAAUACCUUAUACGCCCUUCGGGGGAAAGAUUUAUCGGAGAAGGAUCGGCCCGCGUAAGAUUAGAUAGUUGGUGGGGUAAUGGCCUACCAAGUCUACGAUCUUUAGCUGGUUUUAGAGGAUGAUCAGCAACACUGGGACUGAGACACGGCCCAG